AGUUAUAGGCUGGAACGUGGGUACUAUCCGAGGAUAACAGAGCUCCUCACCACCUAACUAUUGACUUCAAAGGAGAGGUUUAAGGAAAGUCACCUACAGCCUGAGAAUGAAACAUAGACCCAGUUUUUCUCAGUGAUAACCUCUUUAAUACCUUCAGUUAUAUUCUCAAUAGCCAUUUCUUCAGAGCCCUGAGGCUGCAGGACUUAAAACCACCAUUUUACCUUUUGUUUGGCCACUUGAAACAUGAAAAUGAUCAUCUUGGAGGACAAGGAUUGAGGCCACCCUUGGCAAUGGAAGAGGAGGAAGCAGGGAGGUAACAUAUCCAGAGGAUUUCAUGAAGUAAAGCACCAAAGGAGCCCUGAACAACACACCUUUGGAUUUUUAUAAAGAGAGAAAUAAAUAAGCUUCUAUCUUGCUGAAA